GCCGAUAUAGCUCAGUGGUAGAGCACUUCCAUGGUAAGGAAGGGGUCGUCGGUUCAAUCCCGACUAUCGGCU
rnacentral:tRNA from 4 species